UUCGCCCUUAGAGGUUGAUUCUGGCUCAGGACGAACGCUAGCGGCGUGCCUAAGAAAUGCAAGUCGAGCGAGAAUCAGCUUUCGAGCGAAGUUCUAGCGGCGAACGGUCGCGUAACACGUAAGCAACCUGCCUCAAAGUUUGGGAUAGCCCUCCGAAAGGAGGAUUAAUACCGGAUGUGGAUAUAUGAUGGCCUCAUUAUAUAUUUAAAGCAGCAAUGCGCUUUGAGAUGGGCUUGCGUCCUAUCAGCUAGUUGGUGUGGUAACGGCUCACCAAGGCGACGACGGGUAGCUGGUCUGAGAGGAUGAUCAGCCGGAUUGGGACUGAGAUACGGCCCAGACUCCUACGGGGGGCAGCAAUUAGGAAUCUUGCGCAAUGGGCGAAAGCCUGACGCAGCGACGCCGCGUGACAGAUGAAGUCUUUCGGGAUGUAAAUGUCUUUUCUGAAGGAAGAAACAAAUGACGGUACUUCAGGAAUAAGCCCCGGCUAACUACGUGCCAGCAGCCGCGGUAAUACGUAGGGGGCGAGCGUUGUCCGAAUUCACUGGGCGUAAAGCGCGCGUAGGCGGGUUAUUAAGUUGGUGGUGAAAUCCCGGGGCUCAACCUCGGAAGUGCCUUCAAAACUGGUAGCCUAGAGGUAUGGAGAGGGAACUGGAAUUCCUUGGGGUAGCGGGGGAAAUGCGCCGGAUAUCAGGAGGAACCCCCCCGGCGAAGGGCCGGUUUCUGGCCAUAUCCCGGACGCCGAGGUGGGAAAGCUAGGGUAGCGAACGGGAUUAGAUACCCCGGUAGUCCUAGCUAUAAACGAUGGAUACUAGGUGUUAGAGGUAUCGACCCCUCUAGUGCCGUAGCUAACGCACUAAGUAUCCCGCCUGGGGAGUACGACCGCAAGGGUGAAACUCAAAGGAAUUGACGGGGGCCCGCACAAGCGGUGGAGCAUGUGGUUUAAUACGUCACUAACCGUAGAACCUCACCCAGGCUUGACAUCCACUGUAAGUCUAUGAAAGUGGUACCCCCGUAUGGAAACAUGCAGCAGUGAGACAGGUGUUGCAUGCCUGUCGUCAGCUCGUGUCGUGAGAUGUUGGGUUAAGUCCCGCAACGAGCGCAACCCUCAUCCGAUGUUGCCAGCGUAAAGUCGGGGACUCUUCGGAAACUGCCCGCGCAAGCGGGAGGAAGGUGGGGAGGACGUCAAGUCAGCAUGGCCCCUACGCUUGGGGCUACACACACGCUACAAUGGGCGUAAACAAAGGGCAGCGAGACUGCGAAGUUAAGCUAAUCUCAUAAAUACGUCCUCAGUUCGGAUUGUAGUCUGCAACUCGACUACAUGAAGUCGGAAUCGCUAGUAAUCGCGGAUCAGCAUGUCGCGGUGAAUAAGGUCCCGGGCCUUGUACACACCGCC
rnacentral:rRNA from 1 species